UUUCUCUUUCUCCCUUCUGCUCAUGGUUGCUGCUUUUGUGGGACCGGAAACACCUGGUCCGACCGCGAGGUCGUGAGCCGGCAGGCCUUAACACAUCAAGCCAUGUGUAACUUCCUCAACCAUAACGGAGUCAAACUAACACUGCAAUUUCAUCAUAAUUUCUUCAUUCAACACGGAAGAAACUGAUUGCAACUUCAACACCAUCGGCUCAAGGAACCAUCAAGACUUUCUCCUGAGACUGCAUCCGGGCUCUCUCUCAACAGCCAAGUGCACCAGUCCCUCCAGCAGCAAAGCACCCCCUCAACAUGAUGCUGCCACCCCCAUGCUUCACGGUUGGGAUGGAGAUCUUCAGCUUGCAAGCCUCACCCUUUUCCCUCCAAACAUAAUGAUGGUCUUUAUGGCCAAAAUGUUACAUUUUUGUUUCAUCAGACCAGAGGAAAUAUCUUUGUCCCCAUGUGCACUUGCAAACUGUAGUUAUGGCGGUUUUGGAGCAUUGGCUUCUUCCUGAAAGGCUGCUCAGCAAGCUUAUGUCGAUAUAGGACUCGAUUUACUGUAGAUAUAGAUACUUGUCUACCUGUUUCCUCUGGCAUCUUCACAAGGUCCUUUGCUGUUGUUCUGGGACUGAUUUGCACUUUUUGCACCAAACUAUGUUCAUCUCUAGGAGAAAGAAUGCAUCUCCUUCCUGAGUGGCAUGAUGGCUGCGUUGUCCCAUGGUGUUUAUACUUGCAUACUAUUUUUUUGUACAGAUGAACAUGGUACCUUCAGGCAUUUGGAAAUUGCUCCCAAGGAUGAACCAGACAUGUUGAGGUCCACAAUUUUUUUUUCUGAGGUCUUGGCUGAUUUCUUUUGAUUUUCCCAUGAUGUCAAGCAAAGAGGCACUGAGUUUGAAGGUGUUCUUGAGGAAAUGGAUUCUUGUAGAAAUGCCUCCACAGAGAGAGAGUGUGGGUCUCCCACUUAAUGAAAAUGGUUCAAGCCUGAUGCAUGAAAAAACCCACACCUUUGACUCUCACUGGCUGCUGAGGAUAAGAUGAAAGAAAAAUUAAGCAACUGUGCUAUAUGAAGACCAGGUAUGAAUCCAGCUCAGAUGGAAGGUGUCCAAGCUGCUAUUGUAAAUGAGAUCUACAGCUGAAGAAUACAGAUGAAGAACAUCCUGCAGACAAAAUCCACCUCUGUACCACAGAGAGUGAAAGAGGGAGAAAGGAGCACAGAGGAAAUUGGCUGCUUUUAGAUGUUUUUGGAGGAAAUGCACCUUGACCAUGUCAGCCUGUCCAGUAUAAUGUUACUAACUUAUUGCCAAAACCCCUGAUGUCUAAAUCCCAUUGGGAGGUAGUUUAAUUUUGUAUGCAAACAUGUCCUAGUUCAUAUCAUGUAUCUCAUUUAGCCAAUGAGUCCUUUCAUUUUCUCAGACAAACCAGUCAAUAAUUCAAAUAAAUACACUCACAAAUGUGAACAGGGACAGACAGCAUAUCCCAUUGUUAGACAUUACCACUGGAAUUUCCUUUGAACAGUACUGUAGCAAAGUCAUAUGAAAUUGCUCUGAUUUGGGAACAGGAAAUAGAUCCACUCCACAAGACAAAAAUUACACUAAAAUAACUGUCUCCUGAGACGGAUCAUUUCCUGAUGCCACUCUUUGAUCUUCCCUUGAUCCUUGAUGCCAUCCUCCUCUGUCCUUAAUUAAAUCUCUUGAUGAAAGCAGUUUUCUUUCCUAUGUUUCAUUUAAACAGGAGGUAUCGGAGGGACACAUCUAAGGGCUCUGCCCCUUGUUUUAAUAAAAAAAAAGGCUUUAGUUUCUGUCAUUGCCUUUAACCAUGAUUUGCCACUUGCUAGUUGGUUGCAAGUGGUAUUAGGUGGAGGGACAUUCUUAUUCUAAAGAGCAUCUAAUUGGACAAAAAUCUGUGUACUUCUACAAUUAUCAAUAUUUUUGGUCUGUUUCCCUGUAAGACUGUACAUUUUAAUGGAGUUUAAUUUACAAAGUUCGGGAGGAGCAAGUUAAUUUAAUCUGACCAAUCACACUGCCAGAGCAAGCGUAUUUAAACAGGUAAUUACCUCUACGUGGCAUCGAGCAUUCCGGCAUUUGGCCCCACCCAUUUGCCCAUGAACAGACCCGAGCGAGAGACUCGGAUCAUUGGAUACUACUUCACUAAAUGGGCAUUUGCCCUCAUCAGAACAGCUCUUUCGACUAAAUAAUCUUGUUAUUCAACAGAAGCUGCCACAGCAGCUCUUUUGUUUUUGCUGCUUUUGACCACUACCACUUUAAGUGCUAUGUUUACUCUGUCUUUCUUUUUAAUUUCCAUUUGCCAAAGCAGAUCAUAGCGUGAAGCUGCUUCCACAAAUUGGCUGCUUCAGCGCUGUAUAUAUGUCAAACACCUCCCAAUGACGGUUUACACGUUCUCUGAUCUAAACUUUCCACCUGGAGCAUUCCAUCGCGUGAGCCUGCCUCUGCGAAUGAGCGUGGCUCCAUCUUCAUGCCCUUUGAGCUCCAUUACAGCCCAGCAGCAUCCACUCUGACCAUGCCACAGCUCACUACAGCUAUAUACAGCUUCUGGCCGAACAGACACAAGCUGAAUUCGGCUCCACAAGAGGCGGGUCGCGCACCGUGUCACAACUUGUUCAUGAAUCAUUCGGCAAACAUGUCUCACCUCCACACAACAUUCGAGCUCGCCUUGCCGCGCAGCCCUGAUAACCAUGAAGCAAGCACUUCUACAAUCUUCUAUUCAUCUCUAGACCAUAACAUGACUUUCUCUCCUCCCGCCCAGGACAAACUAUCCAUGGGCCACUGGAAUGGAUUCCCGCAUGAGGCUGCCUCCGCUGGAGAACCCUGCUCCAGACCCAUUACCCUCUUCACUUUAUCCCCCUCCUUUAUAAUAUUGUAAUCUACCCCACUCUGGAACCGUUCACUGUGUGAGGCUGCCUCCGCAAGCGAACACGGUCCCGAAUCCUUUUUCAUUCUCGCCUCACCAUUCAGUUCCGAUAACCACAAAGCAAGCAUACAAACUUCUACUCAUCUCUAAACUAUAGCAUGACUUUCUCUCCACCCGCCCAGGACAAACGUUCACGCAGUAGUGCCAAAACCCGGGAGGGAGGAGGGAAGCGCUGUCGCGGAGUCCUCGCUGCUGCCAUCCGCCAGGGGAGCAGCUGCGGCUGUCUGCCUGGAUACGGAGGGGUCACUGCUGACCGCCAUGGGCCGGAGGACUCGCUGCCAUCCGCCGGGUGAGGAGCGAGCUGGCGUAUGCCAGAGGGAGGAGGAGCAGUUGAGGACCGGGCGACAGCGCGUCCGGGAGCUAGCGAGCAAGUUCUUCUCUCUCUCUCCUUUCUCUCUCUUUGUUUGUCUCCGCUCACAUUUUCCCUCUCAGUGGACAACCAGCUAACAGAACAGACGGAAGGGCAGCGUCUCUCCCCCCAGAGAUGGGGGGGAUGUUAGUCAGACCGGUGGUGACACGGCCUGAAUUAGGCGGGGGAGGAGUGUGAUGAGGAGGAGGCCGGGCCGUGAUGGAGCAUGGCUGAUGCUGAAUCAGCUGAUCAGUGGAUCAGCGGGAGAGCGAGAUAAGGGGCAAGCGGAGACACCAGUUCGGGAGAGAGAGAGACACCAUGCUGUGUGUGUUCGUCUUAUGUUUUAUGUUGUUUUACAGUAAGUUUAUGUUUGACAUUAAAAGUUAUGUUUACUGUUCAGCCAGUUCCCGCCUCCUCCUUGC